AACAAACGCUGGCGGCGUGCCUAAUACAUGCAAGUCGAACGGGGAAAGCUUUCGGGUGAGUACUAGUGGCGCACGGGUGAGUAACGCGUGGAUAAUCUGCCUUAGAGUGGGGGAUAACUAGUCGAAAGAUUAGCUAAUACCGCAUAAGACCACAAGAACUGCGGUUCAAGAGGUCAAAGGUUUUUCGCUCUAAGAUGAGUCCGCGUAAGAUUAGCUAGUUGGUGAGGUAACGGCUCACCAAGGCAACGAUCUUUAACUGGUCUGAGAGGAAGAUCAGGCACACUGGAACCAAGACACGGUCCAGACUCCUACGGGAGGCAGCAGUAGGGAAUAUUGCACAAUGGAGGAAACUCUGAUGCAGCGACGACGCGUGAGUGAUGAAGGCCUUCGGGUCGUAAAGCUCUGUCGCAGGGGAAUAACACAAUGAAUGUACCCUGUAAGAAAGGAUCGGCUAACUUCGUGCCAGCAGCCGCAGUAAAAC
rnacentral:rRNA from 1 species